CCAGACUCCUAGGGAGGCAGCAGUGGGGAAUAUUGCACAAUGAGGGGAACCCUGAUGCAGCGACGCCGCGUGAAGGAAGAAGUAUUUCGGUAUGUAAACUUCUAUCAGCAGGGAAGAAAAUGACGGUACCUGACUAAGAAGCCCCGGCUAACUACGUGCCAGCAGCCGCGGUAAUACGUAGGGGGCAAGCGUUAUCCGGAUUUACUGGGUGUAAAGGGAGCGUAGGCGGCAGUGCAAGUCAGAAGUGAAAGCCCAAGGCUCAACCAUGGGACUGCUUUUGAAACUGUCAGGCUGGAGUACAGGAGAGGUAAGCGGAAUUCCUAGUGUAGCGGUGAAAUGCGUAGAUAUUAGGACGAACACCAGUGGCGAAGGCGGCUUACUGGACUGUAACUGACACUGAGGCACGAAAGCGUGGGGAGCAAACAGGAUUAGAUACCCUUGUAGA
rnacentral:rRNA from 1 species